GAUGAACGCUAGCGAUAGGCCUAACACAUGCAAGUCGAGGGGCAUCACAUGAAGUAGCAAUACGGAUGGUGGCGACCGGCGCACGGGUGAGUAACACGUAUGCAACCUGCCUUCAACAAGGGGAUAACCCGUUGAAAGAUGGACUAAUACCCUAUAACACAGGGGUCCCGCAUGGGAAUAUUUGUUAAAGGACAACCGGUUGAAGAUGGGCAUGCGUUCCAUUAGCUAGUUGGCGGGGUAACGGCCCACCAAGGCAACGAUGGAUAGGGGAACUGAGAGGUUUAUCCCCCAACUGGUACUGAGACACGGACCAGACUCCUACGGGAGGCAGCAGUGAGGAAUAUUGGUCAAUGGACGCAAGUCUGAACCAGCCACGUCGCGUGAAGGAAGACGGCCCUACGGGUUGUAAACUUCUUUUAUACGGGAAUAAAGUGCCCCACGCGUGGGGUUUUGCAUGUACCGUAUGAAUAAGGAUCGGCUAACUCCGUGCCAGCAGCCGCGGUAAAUCA
rnacentral:rRNA from 1 species